GUGCUUGCUUUGGCAGCACGUAUACUAAAAUUGGAACGAUACAGAGAAGAUUAGCACGGCUCCUGUGCAAGGAUGACAUGCGAAUUCGUGAAGUGUUCCAUAUUUUU